CUAUUCCAGCCUGUGGAUUUCCACAACCAACUUUCCUCUAGAAGAAUAUUGGGAAGGGUUUGUGAGCAAGUCGUAAGAUCAGAAAGGAGCACUGGAAUGAGUGUCAAAGGUAUUGUAAACUGAGGCAAGUUAUUUCACCUCUUUGAACCUUAUUCCCAUUAACUGUACAUAAGAUUAAGGUUGCUUCUAAGUAGCAAGUCAUAGAAGCCGUAAAAACCUCUGCAUCCAAGGAGAACACUCAUAUUGGUAAACGUGCAAUUGUCAGAGUUUCACCUGGAAAUUGCAUGAUCUUGGUCUCAUAUUUGAAGACACACACAUUCAGGAAUUUAGUCACAGGGCUUGCAUGCUGGCUAACUCUCAGCCUUCCCCCACCAAAGUAGAUUAAUUCACGCACACUCCAAUCAAGCAAAGGCGUAGGCUGGAAAUUCUCAGAGAAAUUUGGAUUUCGUACAGCUGAUAUGGUUAUUUUGAGACAUUUCAAAUGGAAUUUUUUUCAUGAAUGAUUUAAGCUACUAUUUGUUUAGUGCUGGUUGGGCAGAAAUCAAUUCAAAUAAAAAGGUUUGGGUCAGUGUACCCAUUUGAAGAACAGGCUUUAUUCCGCCCCCCCCACCUUUCUUUUUAUUCCCUUUUUAUUUAUUCUAGAACCAUAGCAAUUAGAAGAAUCACAUCAUGAGUUUGGGCAAAAAAGUCAGUUGAUCCUGACCCAAAAGUAAUUGAAAAGCAAACCAUCAAAACCUUCCUACCUCAAAAAGAGGAUUUUUGAGGAAGCAAUGUAUGAAUAUAACAUAUCUUACAAAGUGAAAUAAGCACAGGGGAUAAACUUUCCAUGUAUGCAAUCCUUCAACUGAGAUUUUCCUCACAUGUGUGUCAUUACCUUGAUCAAAUUGAGAGUUGACCAGGGACUCAAUAAAUUUGGAGCAUUUAGGGAGCAUCAGGUUCUCACUUGAGAUUCACAAUUUCUGAAUUUCCUUUCAUAUUUUCAAGUUGGUAGUCCUUAGAGGAGAUUAGGUACUGCAUUUUGGCAAUGGAAUAUGGAAGAGCUAUGAUUCUGGGUUCUGUAAAUUCUUCUUGACCAUAGAUAUGUCCUAGUUUUAGCUGUGAUUACAAUCUCACGGAUCAAGCUCUCUUGAUAGAAUGUACAUUUUAUUGAGAGGUCAAUCCUCAAAAUUCAUGUCUUCAAGAUGCUUUUCAAAUGUUCAGAUUGUGUAUAUAGGCUUAGUUUAUACCCUUAACCCCCAAAUGAAAAUUCUGGCAAUCUUAUUAGACUUCUCACAAAGCAGGUCUUUCAAGCUUCCCCAACACAUGUGAAAACUGGUUUUUAUGAAGAUCCAAGACCAGCCAGGAAACUUCAGCAAAGGCUAGAUUUCAGAAAAGCAGAUCUUCAGUUGUGCAAAGGACAUUGCUAAACUUCUGGGUUGGAAGGUAUCCUGACAUACCUAAUUCUAUUUAUGAAAAUGCAUAUGUGCUUUGAAACUCCAUUUAGAUCCAGCUCUUUCAGCUAGAGAUGAAAACCAUAUGUGUGUCGAAGGCCCUUAUGUUUUUGCCUUGGAGAGUCUUAGAUUUUGUUUUGAUUCCCAACUCAGCAUCAUUUUCAGAUUUGGAGGCAUCCUGGGUAUAUCCUUGACCCCCAGUGUCAUGCGGAAAUAUUUUUGUUAUCCCUUCGUACUCUUCUUAGAUGAUACUCAUUUCCAUAUGUUGAAGAAGGUGUUGUGGCCUUUCAUCCUCACAAUGUUGUUCUAGGAAAACUAGAGAUCGGAAGACAAUAUGUGAACUAGGCAGGCUCACAACCUGAUGCAUAGGUAAAUAGUAAUUUAUUCACCAUUUAAUAUCAAUUCAUGAGGUCUUCCUUUC
rnacentral:lncRNA from 1 species